UGGUGAAGAUACAACAGGAGAGAAUACUGAGAGAAUAAUAUCUUGGAGGAUAUUGGAGGAAAUGGGGAGGGGCAUUGGAGGAAAAGAGAAGGGCCAAAGAAAGACCUCUCCUCCCCUGACCCCUGUUUCCAGGAUUUGGAGGCAGGUUUGAAACACUGGAUAAUACAAGCAAGAGGAAAUGUGAAGACAGAUCUAAGGGACUGGAUUUAUGGAAAGUUCACGAAGGCUGGCUUCUCCCCUUGCAUUAUAGAAAGG
rnacentral:lncRNA from 1 species